UGCCUACCCAGCUCACUGCCCAGUCACUUAAUAGCAGCCCUCAAGAUGAGAGUGGGCAAGCCAGCCCCUCCCCCGGCUUUCCUUUGGUUCAAGCAAACCACAAAUAUCUCAAGCCACUUCCAUGUAUAAUACAUCAAUACACCGACUCCUCCGAUCCCUGGAACAACCGUCCAAGGUCAUCCAGGCAGCACGAUGACCCUCAUCAAAGAUGGGGAGGACUCCCUUGGAAACUGAGUGGCGGGUUUGGUCUGAAGCUGAACCUCGGGGCCUCUUUGCAGAAGACGAGCUUGGGUGGGGAGCCUACAGACAUUUCAGGUUUAGUCAUGUUGUCAAAAGGAUGAACAUCUCAGCCCCAGUUAUGCGAACUCCCAAAAGGCAGUCAGUCUCUCCUGCACUAAGGUUUGUGCCGAAUCCAAGGGUCACCUGCGCUUAUUAAUUAUGCCCUCCCAUUAUUUAAAAAAAAUGCUUUAAAGUUUAAAAUAUCAACUUAAGUUUCACCCUACACAGCAAUGAAACUAUGGGUCUGUGUGCUGUUUGUGUUUUUUUCCCAACUACCAACUGAGAAAAAGACAUAAUUAUUCUUUUUCGUUUCAUGUUCAGCUGUGAACUUUUUAAAACGAUCUUGGUUACCACCAGUGAUAACACGCUUUGGGAAACGUUCAUUAGAAUAAGAUGAAUGAGACUUUGGGUCAUAUUUAUUCUCUGCAACAUUUUUAAACUAAUUUCAUUUUAAGGAAAGCGAGCCCUCCAGAGAAGUUUGUGAUCAGAAGCGCCAGAAAGAGAAACCUUCAAAGCGACUUCUCUAUCAGGCAAACUUACUUGCUCUUAGGCUACAAGCAAUUUUCACUGAGGGACUUAACUUGUCCAUCUCUGCAUCCUGCAGGGUGAUAGAUGUUUCAUAUCCACAUUUCUCAGAACAAUCUUGACGCCAAAUAUCACACCGGCGACCGCUCCCUCAGCUCUAGACCCAGGAGUGCUAGGAAGCUUCUAGAAGCUGAUGUCAUCCAACCUGUCUGAGGAGGGCAGGAAGCUGGGCAAUCUCUUCACCCUCUGUUCCCUUUUGGAUCAACAGAAACCCAGCCUCCCCAGGAAAGUGAGAGCCCUGGAAAUUCAACUAUUCAGGUCAACAACUCCUUGUUAAACCCUUGAGAGACCACGUGAACAAACCACGUGUCUUCGGAUGGGAAGACGGUCCUCCUCCAGCCUCCGUCUUCCUACUCACCCCCGCCCCCAGGAUGGACGACAUCGUCAGAGCCCAACAGCUGUGGCCGGGAGCGACCCAAUGCCAGUGGGAAGUGACCCACUGCCUGAGCAUGGCUCCCGGCCCACCUUUCCCCGAUCAGCAUACCAGACGGACGACACAUGCCAUAAGGGUCCCUGACCCUGGGGACCUGGCCUGGAAACCCACUGACCACUCCCAGCCAUCAAGCUCCUCAGCAGUGAGUCCCCAGACCCAGAUCUCGUCCAGGUACUGCCGCCAACUUGCUGAGUGACCUCGGGUGAGUCACUCCACCUCUCUGAGCAUCCUUAGCUGACAAACUGGGACUUUCUAAGGCCCUUUUGUCCCUGAAAAUCUUAGUCCAUGGCUGCCCUGAAUGCAGAGUGCUCUCACCCCUCCCACCCUCUGCCCAAGGCUUGGCUGCCUGGAAGAGCCCCAGUGGCUGGAGCAGAGCAGAGCUAGUGCUGCCAUGGGUGUUGGGUUACCAGGCCGGCACUCUCCCUGGGUAGCAGCUCUGUCUCGGAUAUUUUUAGACUCCCCCCUCGGCCUGUCCCUAACAAGAGCCAGAUACAUCUGACAAUUCGCCCCAUGGGUCAGUCCUGCCAAAACUGCACUUUUGGGUCACUCCUGCAGGGAGCAGACUCCAUCGCUCCUGGGGUGAGAAAGGGAGCCUCCUCUUCCCACCACCCCUAUUCCUACCCCCAUCCUUCCCUGGACAAGAUGAAGCCAACAUCCAAGCGUCAGGCUCCAGUUCUGUCUAAGGUGCCAGCUGCCCUCGCUCCCUGUUCCAGCUGCUGCUGCCAAUUGCCUAAGCCCAGUAAGACGUCCCCGGAGCCCAUCCUCCUGCACUGGAGUCCUGUCGCCGACCUUUAACUGCCUCUUCUGGAAGGACUCUGCUCCGCAGUCCCAAUGCCUGGGACCGCACCCCACCUUUGGGGGAUGGCUGCCACCACCCCGUAGCUGGGGAGCCCACCCCCAUCCCGCCUUAGGCCCCGAAGCCCAUGUCAGAGGCCUCACUUGUCCACAGAGCUGGGCAGCGGCCGCAUGUUGCAACACACACACACACACACAACUAUGUGCACCUCCCCAGGACAGUGGCUGCACUCCUGCCCUCCAGACAAAUCCCGCCAAGCAGCCAGCAAUCUACCGCCACCCCCAUCUGGCCUGGAAAGGCAUUCAUGUAUUUUUGUCUCGACAGACUUCCCUUCCUGGUCAUGUCUGGCAGAGUUUACUAUGACACAGAGGCGGCCUCAGCUGUGCCCCCUUCAACCAGGAAGGCCGCAGAGGGCAGGAGAGUCAGCACGCGCCUGGGGUGAGAAAUUGGCCUGUUGAGCCUCCUGUGAAUCACCUGUUGCUGGAAAAUGGCGAGUCCGUGCUCACACACGCGUGGUUUCAGCUCCUGCCCUGCAGAUAUCAUGCGCACGGCAGAGAAAGGAAAUCUAGGUGAAACACUCACUUCCAUUCCAGAAACAAAGGGCCUUAGACACUACUUGUGUGUGCAGGGGAGUGGCGGGGAGGGCUGGAUGGUUGUGCCCUGUAUUUACAGUUAGUGGCCACAGACCCCUGUGGCAGCUCCAUCAGCUGUAGCGGCUCCAUCAGAGGCUCCAUCAGCUUCUGUCCCCUUCCUUGUCCCUUCCAGCCUCCUGGGGAAACCUGGCUCGUGUCCCUUCCUCACCCGCCGUCCACUUCCUUACUGAGGCCAAAUUCUGGGGAGAGGUGGCCGGCAACCGUGAGCGGAUUCUGGAAUUUCUAACUGAAUCAAACUGAAGCACAGGUGGCUGCACACUCUCUGUUUAAUUGUGGUAAAAUAUACAUCACAGAAUAUUGAGCACUUUAACCACUUUUAAGUGUAGAAUCCAGUGGCAUCAAAUACACUUACAAUGUCGUGGAACCAUCACCACUCUCUAUACCCAAAAUGUUUUCAUCCCCCCAGCUCUGUACCCACUAGCAAUAACUCCCCAUCCCUCUCUGCCAGCCCCAGGUACCUCUGCUCCACUUUCUGACCCUCUGAAUUUGCCUAUUCUAAGUGCUUCCUGUCAGUGAAAUCAUACAAUAUUGGGGCUACCAGCUGCUUAAGACCCUCUCCAAGCCCAUUACCUUACUCCUCACUCUGCCUGUCACUUUUUAGACUGGGCUCUGCAUUUUAGACACAACUAAGUUAAAAGAUCACCCCACCUCACCCCACAUACACAUCUUUGCAGCUCGGGAGGGGGCACUGCCCCUUUUCCCAAACCUGAAACUGGGCUGUCAUUCUUGUUCCAAAGUAAGAGGUGGGUCCUGUAGUCCGGAGGGAGGGCUUUGCUCUCUGUAGUCUCCCUCAGGCACAGGUGCCCCCAACUAACCCCCAUUUAUGAGGUUCCCAUGUCAGUCCCAAAUUAGGGCCUCCCUGGGGUAUAUUUAGGACCCUGGAUUUGGGGAGGGUGUAUAGUCCUCCUGUAUACGAGCUCUAGGCUCCCCCUUCUCCGGACCCAUGGGUGGGGCCCUCGUAGCCCCCCAAGCCCAACCGGAGUGGAGAGGGGACAGGCGUCAUCCAAGCAGUGCCUCCAGCUCCUCCGCUCGUCCAACCUAAGGCAGAUGCUCCCUGCCGCUGGGGGGCGCAACGGAGCCGCCGCCGGGGCCGAGAGGGGACCCAAUGACCCAGCCAGGGCGCAGCGGGUCCGGCGCGCUCCGUGAGGCGGGGGACCGUGCGCCAAGGCGCCGGGGGACUUCACACGACGAGAGGGGGGCUACCCGGGACUCCGAGAACCCUGGGAGUGGAGUUGGCGGGGGCGAGGGGAGUCGCCCUGACUCCUCCCCAAACUUUUCCCGCCCGCCUCGACGCAAAAGGCGAAGGAAGCAGUCCGGGGGUGGGGAGGUGGAAUUCGGGGUCCCGAGCGAGCUCGGCGCAGGCGGGAAGUCCGCGCCCUCGCAAUCUGGCAGAGGAACAGUGGAUUUUCGGCAGGGAGGGGCCUCGGCCCCUCCCUGUCCGCCACCAAUUGCAGGGACCUCUCUGGGUCCGAAGGAAUGACUUGGGAUGUCCAUGCCUGCGGGCAAAUCUGAUCCCCAACCUCAAGGCAGCCCAGUAGGACUUGGAGUUGUAGCAGAAGAGCUGAUGGAGACGAAUAUGUGGGCUCUGGUCAAAAAGGAUGGAGAUCUAAAAGAAAGUGCGACCUAAAUUCAUAGAGUCAUGAUGGGAAUGGAUCAAAUAUGAAUGUGAUUCAACCAGCGAAAACUGCUUUUGGUUGGUGGGUCAGUUUCACAGAUGAUAAGGGUUUUACUAACUUCCAUUUAAUAACCAUUUCCUUUGCAAACAAACUGGUAGAUAAGAUGGCCCCGUGUGAUCUGCCACCUGGUGUUCACAGUCUUGUGUAUUCUCCUCCCCUUAAGAGUGGGUGGGACGUAAUGACUUUUCAUGACUAGAAUAAAAUGAAAAAAUGAUGGGAUGUCACUUCCAUGGUUAGGUUAUAAAAACUAUGACUUCUGUGUCACCAGCACAUUCUGUGGCCCUCUAGGCUUGCAUGCUUUCAUGAAGUACACUACCAUGUUAGAGAGACCCACAAGGCAAAGGACCAAGGGAAAUUCUGGCCAACAGCUGUCCAGGUACAGAGACCUUCAGUCCAACAGCCCCCAAGGACCAGAAUGCUGCCAACAACCAUGUGAUCUUGGAAGCAGAUCCUUCCCCAGUUGAUCCUUCCCCAGCUGUGGCCAACACCUUGAUGACACUGAAGCAGAGGGCCCAGUUAAGCCAUGCCCAGCUUCCUGACCCACAAAAUCUGUGUUAAAUGUGUGUUGCUUUAAGCUGCUAAAUUUGAGGGGGGUGGGGUUGGGUUCUAUUGUAGACUUUGUAUCAGUCAGGAUAGGCUAGGUUAUGGCAUGAUAACAAAUGAUCCCACGAUCUUUGUGGCUUGCAACACAAGUAUUGAUAUAUCUUGCUCACAAUAUAGGUCCAUUAUGGGUUGAUUUUGACCAUGGGUCCAUAUCAUCUUUACUUCUGGAGGCAGGCUAGUGGAGCAGCCUCUAUAUGGACCAUUGCUGGUCUCAGGGAAUUAGGAAGAUAAGAUGAUGAACCACUCACUGGCUAUAAAAAGCUUCUGCAUGCUCACAUUUCAUUGGCAAAGCAAGUCAUGUAGCCAAGCAGCAAAAAAAUCUCCCACUAGCCAUGUUAUCCUGGCAAGUCACUUCACCUCUCAGGGUCCAACACUAUCUUUGCAUUUUGCUUACAGUGCUAAGUGCUUCUAGGUGUAGGAAUGUAGCAAGCACAUCUAAAGGCCUGCAAGCAACAUUUUCU